rnacentral:rRNA from 1 species
UACGGAAGGCAGCAGUGGGGAAUAUUGCACAAUGGGCGAAAGCCUGAUGCAGCUAUGCCGCGUGUAUGAAGAAGGCCUUAGGGUUAUAAAGUACUUUCAUCGGGGAGGAAAAAACAAAACUAAUAAUUUUAUUUCUUGACGUUACCCGAAAAAGAAGCACCGGCUAACUCCGUGCCAGCAGCCGCGGUAAUACGGAGGGUGCUAGCGUUAAUCAGAAUUACUGGGCGUAAAGAGCACGUAGGUGGUUUUUUUAAAGUCAGAUGUGAAAUCCCUGGGCUUAACCUAGGAACUGCAUUUUGAAACUGAAAUACUAGAGUAUCGUAGAGGGAGGUAGAAUUCUAGGUGUAGCGGUGAAAUGCGUAGAUAUCUGGAGGAAUACCUGUGGCGAAAGCGGCCUCCUAAACGAAUACUGACACUGAGGGUGCGAAAGCGUGGGGAGCAAACAGGGAUUAGAUACC